ensembl:lncRNA
AGCUGUUCCACAAGGUCCUCAACGUCUCCUGAAUACAUUGUGUCUGGGACAAUGUACUCCUCAUAAUCGACCCCCAGAAGCACGAUCACGCCCAUUCCGGAAGACACUCCGAUCACCUCCACCGUCUCCUCAAUGAGCCGCCUUUCUGAAACCUGUGUUUUUACAGGCAUGUUUAAAUAAGCUCUGUUAUUAACAUUACUUCUCACUUUGUCUUCCUCAGUCUCUCUCACAUUCUUUUAACCCCCCACAUGCACACACACUGGGGCUCGAGUUUGAGAGAGACUGAUUUAAAGAAAUAAUAUUAUGCAUUACAUAGUGUACCUUUACGGUGGUGUAUGUGGAAGAAUUGAAUUUAAUGUUUCCAUUCGGUUUAGUGUUUGGGCGGAGGUGGGUCAGCUCCACAGUGUCUCCAUUUAACACCUCGAUAAGAGCCUCAUCUCUCCACAGAGAAACCUCAACUGCUCUUGAGUUGCAGUUUAGCUUAAAGUCCAGGACGGGCACUUUACCAAAUUGCACCUGUGCCAUCCUCACCUCCUGCAACUACAAAUCACAUACCAGAGGAGACUGACGUACCCAUCUUCUGAAGGGUCCACUUUGUCCACGGAGACCAGAGGGGAAUGUGGAACAAGGAUCUCUCUGGCCCUUCUCUCCUGAUCUUCAUUGUUUAAUCAGUGGGUCACAGUUGUUCCUGCUAUACUCACCAUUCUUCGAUGAAAUGCUACUGCCUUUCUUGUGACACGUGUGGCAACGCAUUUACAUUUCAGUGGCUCCGGACGGCUGUAUGGACUGCAUGUUGCCAUUGUGAUGCUAAGAACAAAUACACAGAAAGGGUAAUUAUGAAACUUGUUAAUCUGAUUCAAACAGGACACAAUGCAGUUAAUAUGUUUACUGUACAUACAAAGUUACAAUUGAGCUAUCUUUUUUUACUUCAUACUCCACAAGAAUGUAUUUAUUAAUUCAUGUAAUGGAUUUUGAUGUAUUGAACUUUCUUGUCAGGGAGUGAAAAAGGGCAGUCUCUGACAGCAUACCCUUUCUUUUUCUUUUUACUUCAUAACCUGACAGGAUUUCUCUUUUUUUAAAUGUGCAGAGUGUUUUAGCGGCAUCUAGCGGUGAGGUUUGUGAAUUGUAACCAACGGCUUAGCCCCUGCUCACCCGUCCCUUUAGAGAAGCUUUACAGAUUUUGUGAAGUAAAGAUUUUCCUCAGAAAAUAAACUUUCCCGUCAGGAAUUGAAGAAAUCCUGUUUCUGACAGGAAAUCUAUAAAAUAUAUUUCUUGUGAAGUCAAGAUUUAGAUCAGAAAAUGUGUUUUCCUGUCAGAGAUAAUUUUCCCCCCUCUUUUUUUUUUUUUACUUGAUAUUCUGACAGGAUUAACUGUUAUUCUGUUUUUUUUAACUCCAUAUUGCACAGGAAUUUAUGUAUUCAUUCACUAAAUUUAUUGAAUUAGUUAUUUAUUGAAAGUUAUUGAUAAUAUUUAUUGUGAAGUAAAGAUUUAAGAUUUAUUUAUCCUUCAUAUUAAAUUCUUUAAAUCCUGUCAGAAUGGGUUUUAUUAAUGUCAUGUCUUCAUAAUCUUUUAAAAAUCACUAAUGUUAUUUGAAAUCAGUUAAAAAAAUACUUCAGAAAAUUAUUUUUCCAGUCAGAAACACUUCUCUGACCAAAUCCUGUCAGAAUAGGGUUUAUUAUAUUACAGUCUCUGUCUAUCCUGUCACUGUCAUAUAGGCCCUUAUCACUUACAUUUUUUUUUUGGAAGAAUUUAAUUUGUAGUUGUAAAGUUACAACUUUUAAUCACUGUUUGUAGAAAAGUAAAAUUGACUCACCUCAGACAAUAUGUGGUUGUUGCUGCUGCAGAGUAGUCAGUGAGUCGAGUGAGAGGGGGUCAGUGGGCCAGUGGUCUUAAACUUGGCAGUGGUCCAAUCAGAUGACGUCACCGAGGCGCAUAGUAACAAGAGGGUAAACUUCCUCUCUCUCUGUCUCUCUCCCUCCCUCCCUGUGUGUGGUUGUGUGUGUAUAUAUACAGGUUUGAUUGUAAUUGUUUGAGGGCCAAAUGUUCUCACUUGUAUAGGGAAAUAUCAUGACAACCAAGUUGUGAGAACACUAGUUAAAAGGGCUUAUAAAUGAGCCAAAACAUGUUUUUAUUCAAAUUUAGUGUUUUGCACACAUUGGGUUUAGGGCAGAGGUCCUGAAGGGCCGGUGUCCUGCAGAGUUUAGCUCCAUUCUUGCCUCAACACACAUGCUGGGAAGUUUUGUAGUAUGCCUAGUAAGAGCUUGAUAAGCUGGUUCAGGUGUGUUUAUUUGUCUAAACUCUACAGGACACUGGUCCUCCAGGACUGAGUUUGGGCACCUCUGUUGUUUAUCAUACUGUUAACUUGAUUGAUGUGAUCAUCAUGCAACUAACAAAUCUAAUUUGUCAUAUGUUUGUUUUCUACAG